AUUGAACGCUGGCGGUAUGCUUAACACAUGCAAGUCGAACGGUAACAUAAGAGAGCUUGCUCUCUUGAUGACGAGUGGCGGACGGGUGAGUAAUAUAUAGGAACCUUCCUCAUAGUUUAGGAUAAGCACUCGAAAGAGUGUCUAAUACUGGAUGUGAACUACGGUUUAAAGCAGGGGAUCUUCGGACCUUGUGCUAUGAGAUGGGCCUAUACAAGAUUAGCUAGUUGGUGAGGUAAGAGCUCACCAAGGCGACGAUCUUUAGCUGGUUCGAGAGGAUGAUCAGCCACACUGGGACUGAGACACGGCCCAGACUCCUACGGGAGGCAGCAGUGGGGAAUAUUGGACAAUGGGGGGAACCCUGGUCCAGCCCAUGCCGCGUGUGUGAAGAAGGCCUUAAUGGUUGUAAAGCACUUUUAAGCGAGGAGGAGGCUCUCUUGGUUAAUACCCAAGAUGAGUGGACGUUACUCGCAGAAUAAGCACCGGCUAAC
rnacentral:rRNA from 1 species